GCAACGGUGUCUUUAGACACCACCACUACCUUCGAAUCUAUUUUUCU
rfam:Picea glauca, whole genome shotgun sequence.